rnacentral:rRNA from 1 species
GACGAACGCUGGCGGCGUGCUUAACACAUGCAAGUCGAACGGAAAGGCCCUGCUUUUGUGGGGUGCUCGAGUGGCGCACGGGUGAGUAACACGUGAGUAACCUGCCCUUGACUUUGGGAUAACUUCAGGAAACUGGGGCUAAUACCGGAUAGGAGCUCCUGCUGCAUGGUGGGGGUUGGAAAGUUUCGGCGGUUGGGGAUGGACUCGCGGCUUUUCAGGUUUUUGGUGGGGUAGUGGCUUACCAAGGCUUUGACGGGUAGCCGGCAUGAGAGGGUGACCGCACACCUUAGGACUGAGAGACGGGCCGGACUCCUACGGGAGGCAGCAGGGGGGAAUAUUGCACAAUGGGAGGAAGCCUGAUGCAGCAAGGCCGCGUGCGGGAUAACGGCCUUCGGGUUGUAAACCGCUUUCGCCUGUGACGAAGCGUGAGUGACGGUAAUGGGUAAAGAAGCACCGGCUAAAUACGUG